GCAAGACGAAGAAAGGGGGUGUAGGGUAUUUUGUGUGAGUUGCGGCAGAGUUAUAGGGAUAGACUUAUGGGGAGUAGGGUUAUAGGGGUAAAGUAAGAAUUAAAAUAAAAUAGGGAAGUGCAGGACAAGACCAUGGAAGUGCAGAGAGGAAUACUCUUCAAUUAAAUGUACAACUACUUAAACAAAAGCAAAAUAACAAGUAUUGGGUAAUAAUUUAUAAUAAAAGACUGCAAAAAGAAGAUUAAAAUAGAAAAAUGAGCAAAAAGAAAAGAUACAACAGAAG
rnacentral:lncRNA from 1 species